rnacentral:rRNA from 1 species
AGAGUUUGAUCCUGGCUCAGAACGAACGCUGGCGGUAUGCUUAACACAUGCAAGUCGAACGCGAAAGUCUCUUCGGAGGCGAGUAGAGUGGCGCACGGGUGAGUAACACGUAGAUAACCUGCCCCUUAGUCUGGGACAACCUUCUGAAAAGAGGUCUAAUACCGGAUAAUACCUUUAGCCAUACGGUUUUAAGUUGAAAGAUUUUAUCGCUGGGGGAUGGGUCUGCGCACCAUUAGCUUGUUGGUGAGGUAAAGGCCUACCAAGGCAACGAUGGGUAGCGGGUCUGAGAGGACGAUCAGCCACACUGGGACUGAGACACGGUCCAGACUCCUACGGGAGGCAGCAGUGGGGAAUAUUGCACAAUGGAGGAAACUCUGACGCAGCAAUACCGCGUGAGUGAAGAAGGCCCUUGGGUCGUAAAGCUCUUUUCUGGGGGAAGAUGAUGACGGUACCCCAAGAAUAAGCACCGGCUAACUAUGUGCCAGCAGCCGCGGUAAUACAUAGGGUGCGAGCGUUGUUCGGAAUUACUGGGCGUAAAGGGCGCGCAGGCGGAAUAGUAAGUCGGAGGUGAAAGCCCCGGGCUCAACCCCGGAGGGUCUUUCGAAACUGCUAAUCUAGAGAGGGUCAGGGGCCGGCGGAAUUCCUGGUGUAGAGGUGAAAUUCGUAGAUAUCAGGAGGAACACCGGAGGCGAAGGCGACCCGCUGGAGCCAUUCUGACGCUGAGGCGCGAAAGCGUGGGGAGCGAACGGGAUUAGAUACCCCGGUAGUCCACGCCGUAAACGAUGAAUACCAGCUGUUUGGGAAAUCGAGACCUCCCAAGUGGCGCAGCUAACGCGACGAGUAUUCCGCCUGGGGAUUACGGUCGCAAGACUAAAACUCAAAGGAAUUGACGGGGGCCCGCACAAGCGGUGGAGCAUGUGGUUUAAUUCGACGCAACGCGAAGAACCUUACCUGGGCUUGACAUCCCCGGACCCCGGUGUAGAGAUACACUUUCCCUUCGGGGCCGCAUUAGAGGUGCUGCAUGGCUGUCGUCAGCUCGUGUCGUGAGAUGUUGGGUUAAGUCCCGCAACGAGCGCAACCCCUACUGAUAGUUGCCAGUGGUUUGGCCGGGCACUCUAUUGGGACUGCCGGUGUCAAACCGGAGGAAGGUGGGGACGACGUCAAGUCCUCAUGGCCCUUAUGCCCAGGGCUACACACGUGCUACAAUGGGAUGUACAGAGGGUUGCCAAGCCGCGAGGUGGAGCCAACCCAGAAAACAUUCCUCAGUUCGGAUUGUAGUCUGUAAUUCGACUACAUGAAGCUGGAAUCGCUAGUAAUCGCGGAUCAGCACGCCGCGGUGAAUACGUUCCCGGGCCUUGUACACACCGCCCGUCACACCAUGGGAGCCGACAAGGGCAGAAGUCGCCGAGCUAACCUUCGGGAAGCAGGCGCCCAAGCUGUUGUUGACGACUGGGGUGAAGUCGUAACAAGGUAACC